UACGUAGGGUGCGAGCGUUGUCCGGAAUUACUGGGCGUAAAGAGCUCGUAGGUGGUUUGUCGCGUUGUUCGUGAAAACUCACAGCUUAACUGUGGGCGUGCGGGCGAUACGGGCAGACUGGAGUACUGCAGGGGAGACUGGAAUUCCUGGUGUAGCGGUGGAAUGCGCAGAUAUCAGGAGGAACACCGGUGGCGAAGGCGGUUCUCUGGGCAUGAUCUGACGCUGAGGAGCGAAAGCCAGGGGAGCAAACGGG
rnacentral:rRNA from 1 species